GACGAACGCUGGCGGCGUGCUUAACACAUGCAAGUCGAACGGAAAGGCCCUGCUUUUGUGGGGUGCUCGAGUGGCGAACGGGUGAGUAACACGUGAGUAACCUGCCCUUGACUUUGGGAUAACUUCAGGAAACUGGGGCUAAUACCGGAUAGGAGCUCCUGCUGCAUGGUGGGGGUUGGAAAGUUUCGGCGGUUGGGGAUGGACUCGCGGCUUAUCAGCUUGUUGGUGGGGUAGUGGCUUACCAAGGCUUUGACGGGUAGCCGGCCUGGGAGGGUGACCGGCCACAUUGGGACUGAGAGACGGCCCAGACUCCUACGGGAGGCAGCAGUGGGGAACAUUGCACAAUGGGCGGAAGCGUGAUGCAGCAACGCCGCGUGCGGGAUGACGGCCUUCGGGUUGUAAACCGCUUUCGCCUGUGACGAAGCGGGAGUGACGGUAAUGGGUAAAGAAGCACCGGCUAACUACGUG
rnacentral:rRNA from 1 species